rnacentral:rRNA from 1 species
AGAGUUUGAUCCUGGCUCAGGAUGAACGCUAGCUACAGGCUUAACACAUGCAAGUCGAGGGGCAGCAUGUUGGUUGCUUGCAACCAAUGAUGGCGACCGGCGCACGGGUGAGUAACGCGUAUCCAACCUACCCUUGUCCAUCGGGAUAACCCGUCGAAAGGCGGCCUAACACGAUAUGCGGUUCUCAGCAGGCAUCUAACGAGAACGAAAUGUGAAGGAGAAGGAUGGGGAUGCGUCUGAUUAGCUUGUUGGCGGGGUAACGGCCACCAAGGCGACGAUCAGUAGGGGUUCUGGAGAGGAAGGUCCCCCANACUUGGAACUGAGACACGGUCCAAACUCCUACGGGAGGCA